CUCAGGUGGGUCUGGCUCCAAUUUGCAGAUUCCAAACCUGCCUCACAUUUCUCUUAUUUGAUGCAAGAGAGCCAGAGCAUGUUCUUCUCACGGCAAUGGCAGAAAAGUGAAAGGCAGAUAACGGGUUGCAAGAAGGUUUUUUGAGUCUGAAAAGCCUGACUGUUAUGCAUCAAAAGUCAAAGUUGAUGCUUCCAAUGACAGAUGCAGAAGAACACAUGGGGACAGCGAGCCCACUGUCUGAGGACCAGGAGGAGGAAAGCCAGAGGGGAAGAAGGAGAAAUCAGUGCAGCGCAGCCCUCUCCUUCCUCUGGCUAAGGCCAGGAAAGUGGAAGGAAGGGGGCAGGAUCCCUACAAAGAUUUUGGAGAAUACAGGAAGGAGACUGCCUCACAAGGGAGACUCUACUGCCACCUUGUCCUGGGAAGAGUCCAGUGGAGAUGGCUGAGGGAACUUCCUGGAUGAGGAAGGAAAUGAGGCAGCAAUGAGCUUCUGAAAGCCCAAAGCAAGGAAAGCGGAGAGGAAGAGAGCACGUAGCUCCAGGGAACACAAGGCCACACUCAGACUGGCCUCAAGGCUGUGAGGAUGGGAUUCUUCUGCAGCAAGCAGUGAGGGCUGCGGGGGCCUGGAUGCCAGGACAAGGGGUGACUUUGCCUGAGGACAAAAGCUGAUGUUCUGAACUCAGGAUUCCUGUGAGGACAGGCACUACCCAAGCAGCAGGUACCUCCCCUCCCAGCCUCCUCCCCGCCUGCCACGAUGCCAUGACAUUCCAUGUCCAUGAGCUCCUGAGAACUUGGAUGUCUUUCCUACCUGCCUAAAAACAUGAAAGAAGAAAUCUCCCAAAUGGACUCAAUGUAAACAUUAAAUGAUUAAAUUUACCCAGAAUUGAUGGAGGUUACUUUUACUCCCAUCAGGUGGAAUAAAGGCUCAAAGCAGAGACUCAGCUCAAUUAGAAAAAAAUAGGAAAAUAAAAGAUGUAUCCUUUUGCACACCUGGUUACUUGUCUUAAAAAUCUGUAUCUGACAUAAAAAAGAGGGUUUGUUGUAUAUCUCUGUACUCUGUAUGUUGCUUAGAUAAAGCAACAUAUUGCCAAGAGAAAUCAUCUUUUUCAAUUCAGGAAUCACAAGUUUUCAUUUUCAAAUUCUAAAACUUUAUGCUUUUUGAUUAAAGAGAUAGUAACUUUACCUUUGACUGAGCAAUACCAUUUCCAGGAAUUUGUUCAAAGGAAAUCAAAACAAAUGUGCUGAAAAAUAAUAAG
rnacentral:lncRNA from 1 species